CGACGGCCCCGUCACGUGGCUGCCGCGGCCCCGUCUCCGGCGGAGGCGGGCGCGGGCGCGUCCCUGUGGCCAGUCACCCGGCGGAGCUGGUCGCACAAUUAUGAAAGACUCGACUUCUGCUGCUAGCGCUGGAGCUGAGUUAGUUCUGAGAAGGUUUCCCGGGGCUGUCCUUGUUCGGUGGCCCGUGCCACCGCCUCCGGAGACGCUUUCCGAUAGAUGGCUGCAGGCCGCGGAGGUGGAGGAGGAGCCGCUGCCCUUCCGGAGUCCGCCCCGUGAGGAGAAUGUCCCAGAAAUCCUGGAUAGAGAGCACUUUGACCAAGAGGGAGUGUGUAUAUAUUAUACCAAGCUCCAAAGACCCUCACAGAUGUCUUCCAGGAUGUCAGAUUUGUCAGCAACUUGUCAGAUGUUUCUGUGGUCGUUUGGUCAAGCAACAUGCAUGCUUUACUGCAAGUCUUGCCAUGAAAUACUCAGAUGUGAAAUUGGGUGAACACUUUAACCAGGCAAUAGAAGAAUGGUCUGUGGAAAAGCACACGGAGCAGAGCCCAACAGAUGCUUAUGGAGUCAUCAAUUUUCAAGGGGGUUCUCAUUCCUACAGAGCUAAGUAUGUGAGACUAUCAUAUGAUACCAAACCUGAAAUCAUUCUGCAACUUCUGCUUAAAGAAUGGCAAAUGGAGUUACCCAAACUUGUUAUUUCUGUACAUGGAGGCAUGCAGAAGUUUGAACUUCAUCCAAGAAUCAAGCAGUUGCUUGGAAAGGGUCUUAUUAAAGCUGCAGUUACAACCGGAGCUUGGAUUUUAACUGGAGGAGUCAAUACAGGUGUGGCAAAACAUGUUGGUGAUGCCCUCAAAGAACAUGCUUCCAGAUCAUCUCGAAAAAUUUGCACUAUUGGAAUAGCUCCAUGGGGAGUGAUAGAAAACAGAAAUGAUCUUGUUGGGAGAGAUGUGGUUGCUCCUUAUCAAACCCUAUUGAAUCCCUUGAGCAAAUUGAAUGUUCUGAAUAAUCUACACUCCCAUUUCAUCUUGGUGGAUGAUGGCACUGUUGGAAAGUAUGGGGCAGAAGUCAGACUGAGAAGAGAACUUGAAAAAACCAUUAAUCAGCAAAGAAUUCAUGCUAGAAUUGGGCAAGGAGUUCCUGUGGUGGCUUUGAUAUUUGAAGGCGGGCCAAAUGUCAUCCUUACAGUACUGGAGUACCUUCAGGAAAGCCCCCCAGUUCCAGUUGUUGUGUGUGAAGGGACAGGCAGAGCUGCAGAUUUACUAGCCUAUAUCCACAAACAGACAGAGGAAGGAGGAAAUCUUCCUGAUGCAGCAGAGCCUGAUAUUAUAUCAACUAUCAAGAAAACAUUUAACUUUGGCCAGAGUGAAGCAGUUCAUUUAUUUCAAACAAUGAUGGAGUGUAUGAAAAAAAAAGAGCUUAUCACUGUUUUUCACAUUGGAUCAGAGGAUCAUCAAGAUAUAGAUGUGGCCAUACUCACUGCACUGCUGAAAGGUACUAAUGCAUCUGCAUUUGACCAGCUUAUCCUUACACUGGCAUGGGACAGAGUUGAUAUUGCCAAAAAUCAUGUAUUUGUUUAUGGACAACAGUGGCUGGUUGGAUCCUUGGAACAGGCUAUGCUUGAUGCUCUUGUAAUGGACAGAGUUUCAUUUGUAAAACUUCUUAUUGAAAACGGAGUAAGCAUGCAUAAAUUCCUUACCAUUCCCAGACUGGAAGAACUUUAUAACACUAAACAAGGUCCAACCAAUCCAAUGUUGUUCCAUCUCAUUCGGGAUGUCAAGCAGGGUAAUCUCCCCCCGGGGUACAAGAUCACUUUAAUUGAUAUAGGACUUGUGAUUGAGUAUCUCAUGGGAGGAACCUACAGAUGCACAUACACACGAAAACGUUUUCGAUUGAUAUAUAAUAGUCUUGGUGGAAAUAACCGGAGGUCAGGUCGAAAUACCUCCAGCAGCACCCCUCAGUUGCGAAAGAGUCAUGAAACUUUUGGCAAUAGAGCUGAUAAAAAGGAAAAAAUGAGACACAAUCAUUUCAUUAAAACAGCCCAACCCUACAGACCAAAGAUGGAUGCAUCUAUGGAAGAAGGAAAGAAGAAAAGAACCAAAGAUGAAAUUGUAGAUAUAGAUGAUCCAGAGACCAAGCGCUUUCCUUAUCCUCUUAAUGAAUUAUUAAUUUGGGCUUGCCUUAUGAAGAGGCAGGUCAUGGCCCGCUUUUUAUGGCAGCAUGGUGAAGAAUCAAUGGCUAAAGCAUUAGUUGCCUGUAAAAUCUAUCGUUCAAUGGCUUAUGAGGCAAAGCAGAGUGACCUGGUAGAUGAUACUUCAGAGGAACUGAAGCAGUAUUCCAAUGAUUUUGGCCAACUGGCAGUUGAAUUACUGGAACAGUCCUUCAGACAGGAUGAAACGAUGGCUAUGAAAUUACUCACUUAUGAACUCAAAAACUGGAGUAAUUCAACCUGCCUCAAGUUAGCAGUUUCUUCAAGACUUAGACCUUUUGUAGCUCACACUUGUACACAGAUGUUGUUAUCUGAUAUGUGGAUGGGACGGCUGAAUAUGAGAAAAAAUUCCUGGUAUAAGGUCAUAUUAAGCAUUUUAGUUCCACCUGCCAUAUUAAUGCUAGAGUAUAAAACCAAGGCUGAAAUGUCCCAUAUCCCACAAUCUCAAGAUGCUCAUCAAAUGACGAUGGAGGAUAGUGAAAACAAUUUUCACAACAUAACAGAAGAGAUACCCAUGGAAGUAUUUAAAGAAGUAAAGAUUUUGGACAGCAGUGAUGGAAAGAAUGAAAUGGAGAUACAUAUUAAAUCAAAAAAGCUUCCAAUCACACGAAAAUUUUAUGCCUUUUAUCAUGCACCAAUUGUAAAGUUCUGGUUUAACACAUUGGCAUAUUUAGGAUUUCUGAUGCUUUAUACAUUUGUAGUUCUUGUAAAAAUGGAACAGUUACCUUCAGUUCAAGAAUGGAUUGUUAUCGCUUAUAUUUUUACCUAUGCUAUUGAAAAAGUCCGUGAGGUCUUCAUGUCUGAAGCUGGGAAAAUCAGCCAGAAGAUUAAAGUAUGGUUUAGUGACUACUUCAAUGUCAGUGACACAAUUGCCAUCAUUUCUUUCUUUGUUGGAUUUGGACUAAGAUUUGGAGCAAAAUGGAACUAUAUUAAUGCAUAUGAUAAUCAUGUUUUUGUGGCUGGAAGAUUAAUUUACUGUCUUAAUAUAAUAUUUUGGUAUGUGCGUUUGCUAGACUUUCUAGCCGUAAAUCAACAGGCAGGACCUUAUGUAAUGAUGAUUGGAAAAAUGGUGGCCAAUAUGUUCUACAUUGUAGUGAUAAUGGCUCUUGUAUUGCUUAGUUUUGGUGUUCCCAGAAAAGCAAUACUUUAUCCACAUGAAGAACCAUCUUGGUCUCUUGCUAAAGAUAUAGUUUUUCAUCCAUACUGGAUGAUUUUUGGUGAAGUUUAUGCAUAUGAAAUUGAUGUGUGUGCAAAUGACUCCACUCUCCCGACAAUCUGUGGUCCUGGAACUUGGUUGACUCCAUUUCUUCAAGCAGUCUACCUCUUUGUACAGUAUAUCAUUAUGGUUAAUCUCCUUAUCGCAUUUUUCAAUAAUGUAUAUUUACAAGUGAAGGCAAUUUCCAAUAUUGUAUGGAAGUAUCAGCGGUAUCAUUUUAUUAUGGCUUAUCAUGAAAAACCAGUCCUGCCUCCUCCUCUUAUCAUCCUCAGCCAUAUAGUUUCACUGUUUUGCUGUGUAUGCAAAAGAAGAAAGAAAGAUAAGACUUCCGAUGGGCCAAAACUUUUCUUAACAGAAGAAGAUCAAAAGAAACUCCAUGAUUUUGAAGAGCAGUGUGUUGAGAUGUACUUUGAUGAGAAAGAUGACAAAUUCAAUUCUGGGAGUGAAGAGAGAAUCCGGGUCACUUUUGAAAGAGUGGAGCAGAUGAGCAUUCAGAUUAAAGAAGUUGGAGAUCGUGUCAACUACAUAAAAAGAUCAUUACAGUCUUUAGAUUCUCAAAUUGGUCAUCUGCAAGAUCUCUCAGCCCUAACAGUAGAUACAUUGAAAACACUUACAGCCCAGAAAGCUUCAGAAGCUAGUAAAGUGCACAAUGAGAUCACACGAGAAUUGAGUAUUUCCAAACACUUGGCUCAGAAUCUUAUUGAUGAUGUUCCUGUAAGACCUUUGUGGAAGAAACCUAGUGCUGUAAACACACUGAGUUCCUCUCUUCCUCAAGGUGAUCGGGAAAGUAAUAAUCCUUUUCUUUGUAAUAUUUUUAUGAAAGAUGAAAAAGACCCCCAAUAUAAUCUGUUUGGACAAGAUUUGCCCGUGAUACCCCAGAGAAAAGAAUUCAACAUUCCAGAGGCUGGUUCCUCCUGUGGUGCCUUAUUCCCAAGUGCUGUUUCUCCCCCAGAAUUACGACAGAGACGACAUGGGGUAGAAAUGUUAAAAAUAUUUAAUAAAAAUCAAAAAUUAGGCAGUUCACCUAAUAGUUCACCACAUAUGUCCUCCCCACCAACCAAAUUUUCUGUGAGUACCCCAUCCCAGCCAAGUUGCAAAAGUCACUUGGAAUCCACAACCAAAGAUCAAGAACCCAUUUUCUAUAAAGCUGCAGAAGGGGAUAACAUAGAAUUUGGAGCAUUUGUGGGACACAGAGAUAGUAUGGACUUACAGAGGUUUAAAGAAACAUCAAACAAAAUAAGAGAACUGUUAUCUAAUGAUACUCCUGAAAACACUCUGAAACAUGUGGGUGCUGCUGGAUAUAGUGAAUGUUGUAAGACUUCUACUUCUCUUCACUCGGUGCAAGCAGAAAGCUGUAGUAGAAGAGCGUCGACGGAAGACUCUCCAGAAGUCGAUUCUAAAGCAGCUUUGUUACCGGAUUGGUUACGAGAUAGACCAUCAAACAGAGAAAUGCCAUCUGAAGGAGGAACAUUAAAUGGCUCUUCACAAUUUGAUAUUGCCUGCUUCUGUAGCUUCACCUCCUUCAGGUCUUGCUUCUCCAUUUAAGCCCGUUUUGGAUACAAAUUACUAUUAUUCAGCUGUGGAAAGAAAUAACCUGAUGAGGUUGUCACAGAGUAUUCCCUUCGUUCCUGUACCUCCACGAGGCGAGCCUGUCACAGUGUACCGUCUGGAGGAGAGUUCUCCCAGUAUACUGAAUAACAGCAUGUCUUCAUGGUCUCAGCUAGGCCUCUGUGCCAAAAUUGAGUUUUUAAGUAAAGAGGAAAUGGGAGGUGGUUUACGAAGAGCAGUCAAAGUGCUGUGUACCUGGUCAGAGCACGAUAUCCUGAAGUCAGGGCAUCUCUAUAUCAUUAAGUCAUUUCUUCCUGAGGUGAUAAACACAUGGUCAAGCAUUUAUAAAGAAGAUACGGUUCUACAUCUCUGUCUCAGAGAAAUACAACAACAGAGAGCAGCACAAAAGCUCACAUUUGCCUUUAAUCAGAUGAAACCCAAAUCCAUACCAUAUUCUCCAAGGUUCCUUGAAGUUUUCCUGUUGUACUGCCAUUCAGCAGGGCAGUGGUUUGCUGUAGAAGAGUGCAUGACUGGUGAAUUUAGAAAAUACAACAACAAUAAUGGUGAUGAAAUCAUUCCUACAAAUACUCUAGAAGAGAUCAUGCUAGCCUUUAGCCACUGGACCUAUGAAUAUACCAGAGGGGAGUUACUGGUACUUGACUUACAAGGAGUGGGAGAAAACUUGACUGACCCAUCUGUAAUAAAAGCUGAAGAAAAAAGAUCCUGUGACAUGGUUUUUGGCCCUGCCAAUCUAGGAGAAGAUGCAAUAAAAAACUUCAGAGCCAAACAUCACUGUAAUUCUUGCUGUCGAAAGCUUAAACUUCCAGAUUUGAAGAGGAAUGACUACACGCCUGAUAAAAUUAUAUUUCCUCAGGAUGAGUCAUCAGAUUUGAAUCUUCAAUCUGGAAAUUCCACCAAAGAAUCAGAAGCAACAAAUUCUGUUCGUCUGAUGUUAUAGUGCUGAGUCAUUGGUUUUUGCCUACACUUCACAAAAGUGUAACUGUCAGUUUUCCUUUCGGGGGAAUUGAUGAUAUAGGAAGAUGUGUGCAAAAUGAGCUUGCUGGCCCCACACAUAGUCUAGAGGUAAUGUUCUCAUUGAAAAACGCCUGGAGGCUGCAGAUGACAGCUGGAAAGUGCUAGCUGGCAGAGAGUCAGUGCUCUCGGCUGGUGAAGGGCGGGAACCUUGCUGCUGAGAGUGGUGGUUCUCUCACCUGGUGCAGGACCAUUAACCAAAGUCAAGUCUUCAGAUUUGAUUGGCUGCUCAGUCACAGCCAUUCAGCUAAGGAAACUAAAUUGCGCAGCUUUUUAAAUGGCUGAAGUCUUCCUCAGUUUGUGCUCUAUGAUAAUGAUGUUAGCUCUCAACUAGGUGUUUGUGGCCACGGGAGAACUACUCCUUACAAUUUUGCUUCACAGGCAUGUUACAAAGCCUGCACUGAAAACCGUUUGUCUUCCCUCUCUCCCUCCCUCUUUUCCCUGUAGUAUUGAGGAUCAAACCCAGGGCCUCAUGAAGACCAUUUUCUAAGAGACAUUUUAUUUAAGAAUCAACUAUAGAGUCUAUGUUUAUGGAUACAGCCAGUUUUUGUUAAACAAAACCUGAAUUGUGCAAAAGGGUUUUUUAACAUUUAUCAAUGUUAAGUAAAAGAAAGCCAUGAUAAAUAAGAAUUAACUCACUGUUCAAUGGGUGUUUCCUGUGAGGAAGGUUACAGUUGUAACAGCCUGCAGUUGCAUACAUCUCCAAAGAUUUACAGACUUAGUGUAUCAAAUCAGAGUGUCAUGUGAGCUCUCACAUUGAAAAUUCUAUAGGAAUGUGUCAAUGUGAAUUCUAUUUCUGGUACUUAAGAAAUCAGUUGUUGGAUUAUCCUUAUACAGUAUAGGGAGAUCACAAUACAACUUUAUGCCAAUAAAAUCUAACUUAAUUGCCCAGAUAUUUUUGCAUAUUUAGCAACAAGAAAAGCUUAUCAUUUGACUCAAGUUUUAUGCUUUCUCUUUCUUUUCAUUUCCUAGGUACUAAUUUUAAUUUUUAUUUGGAAGGAGCAGUGUAAAGCUUACUUGUAUUCAAUAGUGUAUCUCAUAGAUACAGACAAGGCCGCAGAGAUAAGCUGUUAAAUAGUGUUUAAUGUUGAUGUGGAGAGAAAGGUGUAUUACUUAAAAAUACUAUACCAUAUACGUUUUGUAUAUCAUUAAAUCUUUAAAAGAAAUUAAAUUUAUUCUUGUUUACAGA